GAUGAACGCUGGCGGCGUGCUUAACACAUGCAAGUCGAACGAAGCACUUUUGAUUCUUCGGAAGAGGAAGUGACUGAGUGGCGGACGGGUGAGUAACGCGUGGGUAACCUGCCUUACACAGGGGGAUAACAGUUAGAAAUGACUGCUAAUACCGAAUAAGCCAAUAGAAUCGCAUGAUCUAGUCGGAAAAGAUUUAUCGGUAUAAGAUGGACCCGCGUCUGAUUAGCUAGUUGGAGGGGUAAUGGCCCACAAAGGCGACGAUCAUUAGCCGGCUUGAGAGAGUGAACGGCCACAUUGGGACUGCGACACGGCCCAAACUCCUACGAGAGGCAGCAGUGGGGAAUAUUGCACAAUGGGGGAAACCCUGAUGCAGCAACGCCGCGUGAAGGAAGAAGUAUUUCGGUAUGUAAACUUCUAUCAGCAGGGAAGAAAAUGACGGUACCUGACUAAGAAGCCCCGGCUAACUACGUGCCAGCCGCCGCCGUAA
rnacentral:rRNA from 1 species